rnacentral:rRNA from 1 species
AGCUGACUAAACGACGAAACACAAACAUACACUACCCAACAAACAAAUCAUUUGCCCCACCUAGUAGUUGCGAUCGAACAGUUACAAGUCACAACAAAGUACCGCAAGGGAACCACUAAAGCAAUAAAUAGCAAAGAUUGGCCCUUGUACCUUUUGCAUCAUGGUCUAGCAAGAACAUAGGGCAAGAAGAAUCGCAGCCCACCACCCCGAAACCGAAUGAGCUAUUUUUAAGCAGUCUAACGGACGCACCCUUCUAUGUAGCAAAAUAGUGGGAAGACUUAAAAAUAGAGGUGAAACGCCUACCGAAUUCGGAGAUAGCUGGCUACCCCAUAACAGAAUCUAAGUUCUACUUUAGAAUAACACAUUAACUAAUUAACAUCUAAAGACAAUCAACAGAGGUACAGCUCUGUUGAUUCAGGAUACAACCUGAAUUUGCAAGAAACUGAACCCCCCUCGCCCCGUAGGCCCUUAAGCAGCCACCCUAAAAAAUAUCGUCAUAGAAUUAGCCUAAACAAUACACACCCCAAUUAAAAACUUCAAAUUAACUAAAGGUGGACCUACAUAAGUAGAUAUCAUCAUGCUAAAACUAAUAAUAAGACCCCGUCUCUUUACGCACCCCUCUACUAGAAACAGAAGAACUACUAGUAAUUAACAGACCACAAAAGGCAGACAAUUAACCCAUGCACACCUUCAAAAUAACUGUGACCCCAACACAGGCGCGUUAAAAAGAAAGAUUAACUGUUAUAAAAGGAACUCGGCAACCAGGGGCUCCAACUGUUUAACAAAAACAUAACCUUUAGCCAAACAAGUAUUAAAGGCAACGCCUGCCCAGUGAAUAAUUAAACGGCCGCGGUAUCCUAACCGUGCAAAGGUAGCAUAAUCAUUUGUCUAUUAAUUGUAGACCUGUAUGAAAGGCAAAAUGAGAGCCCAACUGUCUCUUAUAACAAAUCAAUAAAACUGAUCUCCCAGUACAAAAGCUGAGAUACUAACAUAAGACCAGAAGACCCUGUGAAGCUUUAACUAACCUAUUAAACCUAAUAAUAGCUACUUUCGGUUGGGGCGACCUUGGAAUAAAAAAGAACUUCCAACAUAUGACUCCCUCAUAAAUUAAGGCAGACAGGCCUAUAUAGACCCAGUACAGCUGACAAUUGAAAUAAGUUACUCCAGGGAUAACAGCGCUAUCUCCUUUAAGAGCCCAUAUCAAAAAGGAGGUUUACGACCUCGAUGUUGGAUCAGGACACCCCAGUAAUGCAGCCGUUACUAAAGGUUCGUUUGUUCAACGAUUAAUAGUCCCACGUGAUCU